CACCAGAGAGGGCUCUAAAUUAUGGCAGAGCGAAGGUGCCCAGGGAGGAUAGAAAAGGCAACCUUCCCGGAAGCUGAAUUGAAAAGUGUUUGUAACUAACUAAAUGAGAUGUAUCUAGAGAUAGAGAUACUGUUUAAGAACCCACAUCAGUAGCGGAGCAUGAAUAUAGAGCAUUGCCAAGGGUGAGUCUCCUACCUGGUAUCAUGAAGACAUUAGAGUGAACAAUCGACUGGCAAAAUCCCUUCUUUGUAAACUUGCUGUUCAGACAAGAUCACACUAGGGCACACAAAGAAGUUUUUACCAGGUGAACCAGAAGAACUAGCCUGCUUUUCCUAAGCUGAAAAAUGAGGUGAUAUAUAAAGAGCCACUAUACAGAUAUUUUGGCUCCUGCAUCAGAUUCUGCUCUCACAUCUGUGCAGGCCCUUCAGAGAUACUCAUUCCAGUAAACAUGUAAAGAUGAAGAACUUCUAUUGGAAGCAGCAAUUGAAGAUGCCACCAGAUCCCUGAAAAACAAUAGUGCAGCUGGUCAAGAUACUAUGCAGCCUGAAAUGCUAAGACAUGAUGGCAGAGGCAUGGCCAUGCUCCUUUGCAAACUAGUUAAUCUCAUUUGGAUGAAGGGUGAAUCCUUGAAGACUGUCACUGCUCAGACGUUGUACCAUUCUUUAAGAAAUGUGAGCUGAAAGAUUGUGAUAAC